rnacentral:ncRNA from 1 species
UAGAUAGGCUCAGGCGAUCCAUUUGGAAACGAUGCAACACAGGAAAUUGCUGUCUGUAUGGGCGGUAUCCGCAGCGCCGGAGAUCUGGUACUGAGGAUGC